UCUGCUUGCUAACCCGGUCUGCUAACUGCUAAACUGCCGGGCCCUGGUCUGCUAACUGCUAAACUGCGGGCCCAGGUCUGCUAACUGCUAGCCCUUGCUAACUGCUUGCUUGCUAACCAGGUCUGCUAACUGCUAGCUUGCCUGGUCUGCUAACUGCUAGCUUGCCUGGUCAGCUAACUGCUAGCUUGCCUGGUCAGCUAACUGCUAGCUUGCCUGGUCUGCUAACUGCUAGCCCUUGCUAACUGCUUGCUAACCAGGUCUGCUAACUGCUAGCUUGUCUGCCCGGUCUGCUAACUGCUAGCCCUUGCUAACUGCUUGCUAGCCCGGUCUGCUAACUGCUAGCUUGUCUGCCCAGUCUGCUAACUGCUAGUCCUUGCUAACUGCUUGCUUGCUAACCAGGUCUGCUAACUGCUAGCUUGUCUGCCCGGUCUGCUAACUGCUAGUCCUUGCUAACUGCUUGCUUGCUAACCAGGUCUCCCUUGCUAACUGCUUGCUUGCUAACCCGGUCUGCUAACUGCUAGCUUGCCUGCCCGGUCUGCUAACUGCUAGCUUGCCUGCCCGGUCUGCUAACUGCUAGCUUGUCUGCCCGGUCUGCUAACUGCUUGCUUGCUAACUGCUUGCUUGCUAACCAGGUCUGCUAACUGCUAGCUUGUCUGCCCAGUCUGCUAACUGCUAGCCCUUGCUAACUGCUUGCUUGCUAACCAGGUCUGCUAACUGCUAGCUUGCCUGCCCGGUCUGCUAACUGCUAGCCCUUGCUAACUGCUUGCUUGCUAACCAGGUCUGCUAACUGCUAGCUUGCCUGCCCGGCCUGCUAACUGCUAGCUUGCCCUGGUCUACUAGCUGCUAGCUUGUUUAGCUCCGGCCUACUAACUGCUAGCUUGUCUGCCCGGUCUGCUAACUGCUUGCUUGCUAACCCGGUCUGCUAACUGCUAGCUUGCCUGCCCGGUCUGCUAACUGCUAGCCCUUGCUAACUGCUUGCUUGCUAACCCGGUCUGCUAACUGCUAGCUUACUAAACCGGUCUGCUAACUGCUAGUCCUUGCUAACUGCUUGCUUGCUAACCCGGUCUGCUAACUGCUAGCUUGCCCUGGUCUACUAGCUGCUAGCUUGUUUAGCUCCGGCCUACUAACUGUUAGCUUGUUAGCCUGCUAACUGUCUGAAUCGCUGUGUCCCCAGCCAGCUCAACCACUCACUGGACCCAUAUGUUCACGAGGCUACGCAUGCCUCUCUCUAAUAUCAAUAU